AGUGGGGAAUCUUGGACAAUGGGCGCAAGCCUGAUCCAGCCAUGCCGCGUGAGUGAUGAAGGCCCUAGGGUUGUAAAACUCUUUCGUGGGGGACGAUAAUGACGGUACCCCAAGAAGAAGCUCCGGCUAACUUCGUGCCAGCAGCCGCGGUAAUACGAAGGGGGCUAGCGUUGUUCGGAUUUACUGGGCGUAAAGCGCGUGUAGGCGGGCUGGAAAGUUGGGGGUGAAAUCCCGAGGCUCAACCUCGGAACUGCCUCCAAAACUUCCAGCCUGGACUCAAGUAGAGGCAAGUGGAAUUGCGAGUGUAGAGGUGAAAUUCGUAGAUAUUCGCAGGAACACCAGUGGCGAAGGCGACUUGCUGGACUUGUAGUGACGCUGAGACGCGAAAGCGUGGGGAGCAAA
rnacentral:rRNA from 1 species